rnacentral:rRNA from 1 species
AUACGGAGGACGCGAGCGUUAUCCGGAUUCAUUGGGUUUAAAGGGUGCGCAGGCGGCCGUGCAAGUCAGCGGUGAAAGCCCGGGGCUCAACCCCGGAAGUGCCGUUGAUACUGCGUGGCUGGAAUGCGGUCGAGGCGGGCGGGACGGGGGGUGUAGCGGGGAAAUGCGUAGAUAUGCCACAGAACGCCGAUAGCGGAGGCAGCUCGCCAGGCCUGCAUUGACGCUCGGGCACGAAAGCGUGGGGAUCGAACAGGAUUAGAUACCCUGGUAGUCCACGCCGUGAACGAUGGGCGCUCGUCGUCGGCGACAGACAGUCGGCGGCCAAGCGAAAGCGAUAAGCGCCCCACCUGGGGAGUACGGUCGCAAGGCUGAAACUCAAAUGAAUUGGCGGGG